rnacentral:rRNA from 1 species
AUUGAACGCUGGCGGCAUGCCUUACACAUGCAAGUCGAACGGUAACAGGUCUUCGGAUGCUGACGAGUGGCGAACGGGUGAGUAAUACAUCGGAACGUGCCCGAUCGUGGGGGAUAACGGAGCGAAAGCUUUGCUAAUACCGCAUGCGAUCUACGGAUGAAAGCAGGGGACCGCAAGGCCUUGCGCGGACGGAGCGGCCGAUGGCAGAUUAGGUAGUUGGUGGGAUAAAAGCUUACCAAGCCGACGAUCUGUAGCUGGUCUGAGAGGACGACCAGCCACACGGGGACGAAGACACGGCCCAGACUCCUACGGGAGGCAGCAGUGGGGAAUUUUGGACAAUGGCGAAAGCCUGAUCCAGCCAUGCCGCGUGCAGGAUGAAGGCCUUCGGGUUGUAAACUGCUUUUGUACGGAACGAAAAGACUCCUUCUAAUAAAGGGGGUCCAUGACGGUACCGUAAGAAUAAGCACCGGCUAACUACGUGCCAGCCGCCGCGGUAAGAC